GGCGAUUGGGCCGAGUUUGAUCAUGGCUCAGAGCGAACGCUGGCGGCAGGCCUAACACAUGCAAGUCGAGCGGCCGUAGCAAUACGGCAGCGGCAGACGGGAGAGUAACACGUGGGAACGCGCCCUUCGGUUCGGAAUAACGCAGGGAAACUUGCGCUAAUACCGGAUACGCCCUUACGGGGAAAGAUUUAUCGCCGAAGGAACGGCCCGCGUCCGAUUAGCUAGUUGGUGAGGUAAUGGCUCACCAAGGCGACGAUCGGUAGCUGGUCUGAGAGGAUGACCAGCCUCACUGGGACUGAGACACGGCCCAGACUCCUACGGGAGGCAGCAGUGGGGAAUAUUGGACAAUGGGCGCAAGCCUGAUCCAGCCAUGCCGCGUGGAUGAUGAAGGCCCUAGGGUUGUAAAGUCCUUUUAACGGGGAAGAUAAUGACGGUACCCGUAGAAUAAGCCCCGGCUAACUUCGUGCCAGCAGCCGCGGU
rnacentral:rRNA from 1 species